AGUGGGAUAGCUGGGUCAAAUGGUGAUUCCAUUCCAAGUUUUCCAAGGAUUCUCCAUAAUGCUUUCCAUAUUAGUUGCACCAAUUUGUACUCCCACCAGCAAU
rnacentral:pre_miRNA from 1 species